rnacentral:ncRNA from 1 species
UAAAGGUUUGGUCCCAGCCUUUCUAUUAGUUCUUAACAGACUUACACAUGCAAGAAUCCACGCUCCGGUGAGAAUGCCCUCUAAAUCAUAAGGAUUAAAAGGAGCAGGUAUCAAGCACGCUAUAUAGCAGCUCACAACACCUUGCUUAGCCACACCCCCUACGGGAUACAGCAGUGAUAAAAAUUAAGCCAUGAACGAAAGUUCGACUAAGUCAUGUUAACAAGAGUCGGUAAACUUCGUGCCAGCCACCGCGGUCAUACGAUUGACCCAAAUUAAUAGAGACACGGCGUAAAGAGUGUCAAGAAACUGCCCAAAAAUAAAGUCAAAUCUUAAUUAAGCGGUAAAAUGCCAUAAUUAAAACUAAGUCAGACUACGAAAGUGACUUUAAUACAAUUCAGUUACACGACAGCUAAGACCCAAACUGGGAUUAGAUACCCCACUAUGCUUAGCCAUAAACCCAGAUAAUCACAAAACAAGAUUAUUCGCCAGAGUACUACUAGCAACAGCUUAAAACUCAAAGGACUUGGCGGUGCUUCAUAUCCCUCUAGAGGAGCCUGUUCUAUAAUCGAUAAACCCCGAUCAACCUCACCAACCCUUGCUACUUCAGUCUAUAUACCGCCAUCUUCAGCAAACCCCAGUAAGGGAACGACAGUAAGCACAACUACUUUACGUAAAAACGUUAGGUCAAGGUGUAACCUAUGGGAUGGGAAGAAAUGGGCUACAUUUUCUACACUAAGAAUACCCCCUUUAUACCUAAACGAAAGUUUUUAUGAAAUAUAAAAACCAAAGGAGGAUUUAGCAGUAAAUUAAGAAUAGAGCGCUUAAUUGAAUAAGGCCAUGAAGCACGCACACACCGCCCGUCACCCUCCUCAAGUAUCAUAGCAUAAACUCCAACCUAUCAGCCUAUGCAACACUACUAUACAAGAGGAGACAAGUCGUAACAAGGUAAGCAUACUGGAAAGUGUGCUUGGAUAAAA